rnacentral:tRNA from 1 species
GUGGGUGUAGCUCAGCUUGGUAGAGCGCCUGAUUGUGGUUCAGGUGGUCGAGGGUUCGAAUCCCUCCACCCACCCCA